rnacentral:lncRNA from 1 species
AUAGUGAAAGACUAAAAUAAAUCAAAAUUUAUCUUAUAAAAUCAGAGAAUCCCUAGAUCUAAGAUCCUAUUACAUGAUUAUUACAUGGCAUUAAAUUAGAAAUUAAAAUAUAAAGAGCAAGAACUACAUGUUGAUCAUAUCAACAUGUUUCUAUACUACAUCUAAUGUAUGUAAAAUAUAAUAGAUCAGAUCUAUUACCUUGCAAGUUAGACGUUCUAACUUUGCUGAUUCGGACUUGAGAAUGAUAUUGCGAGCCGCACAUGCGUCUGACCUCUAGGAGUCAUCCACACAAGCCCACG